GUUUUAAAAUAUGAUUUAGUUAACUUACGGUUCGAUGACGAAGCAGACCACAACUCGAGUCAUCACUUGAGCGUCCUUAAGGUCUGAACCUUGGACAAAAUGAAUUUUCCCAACAACAUC